AUUUUUCUUUUCUUUUCAUCCAUUUCUUUUCAUUUCCGCUCGGAUCAUACUUUUUUUCUCCAACCCUUUACUUUCAAAACAAAAUGCAGGAAUGUCUCA
rnacentral:ribozyme from 1 species